rnacentral:rRNA from 1 species
GAUGAACGCUAGCGGGAGGCCUAACACAUGCAAGCCGAGCGGUAUUUGUUCUUCGGAACAGAGAGAGCGGCGUACGGGUGCGUAACACGUGUGCAACCUACCUUUAUCAGGGGAAUAGCCUUUCGAAAGGAAGAUUAAUACUCCAUAAUAUAUUGAAUGGCAUCAUUCGAUAUUGAAAACUCCGGUGGAUAAAGAUGGGCACGCGCAAGAUUAGAUAGUUGGUGAGGUAACGGCUCACCAAGUCAAUGAUCUUUAGGGGUCCUGAGAGGGAGAUCCCCCACACUGGUACUGAGACACGGACCAGACUCCUACGGGAGGCAGCAGUGAGGAAUAUUGGACAAUGGGUGAAAGCCUGAUCCAGCCAUCCCGCGUGAAGGAUGACGGUCCUAUGGAUUGUAAACUUCUUUUGUAUAGGGAUAAACCUAGAUACGUGUAUCUAGCUGAAGGUACUAUACGAAUAAGCACCGGCUAACUCCGUG